rnacentral:rRNA from 1 species
GUGGGGAAUAUUGGACAAUGGGGGGAACCCUGAUCCAGCCAUGCCGCGUGUGUGAAGAAGGCCUUUUGGUUGUAAAGCACUUUAAGCGAGGAGGAGGCUACCGAGAUUAAUACUCUUGGAUAGUGGACGUUACUCGCAGAAUAAGCGCCGGCUAACUCUGUGCCAGCAGCCGCGGUAAUACAGAGGGUGCAAGCGUUAAUCGGAUUUACUGGGCGUAAAGCGCGCGUAGGUGGCCAAUUAAGUCAAAUGUGAAAUCCCCGAGCUUAACUUGGGAAUUGCAUUCGAUACUGGUUGGCUAGAGUAUGGGAGAGGAUGGUAGAAUUCCAGGUGUAGCGGUGAAAUGCGUAGAGAUCUGGAGGAAUACCGAUGGCGAAGGCAGCCAUCUGGCCUAAUACUGACACUGAGGUGCGAAAGCAUGGGGAGCAAACAGGAUUAGAAACCCUGGUAGUCC